rnacentral:rRNA from 1 species
UGGGGAAUAUUGGGCAAUGGGCGCAAGCCUGACCCAGCAACGCCGCGUGAAGGAAGAAGGCUUUCGGGUUGUAAACUUCUUUUAAGAGGGACGAAAAAAAUGACGGUACCUCUUGAAUAAGCCACGGCUAACUACGUGCCAGCAGCCGCGGUAAUACGUAGGUGGCAAGCGUUGUCCGGAUUUACUGGGUGUAAAGGGCGUGUAGGCGGGAUUAUAAGUCAGGCGUGAAAACCAUGGGCUCAACUCAUGGCCUGCGUUUGAAACUGUAGUUCUUGAGUGAUGGAGAGGCAGGCGGAAUUCCUAGUGUAGCGGUGAAAUGCGUAGAUAUUAGGAGGAACACCAGUGGCGAAGGCGGCCUGCUGGACAUUAACUGACGCUGAGGCGCGAAAGCGUGGGGAGC